UCCUGAUCAUCCUGAUGGCCUCUUUAG
rnacentral:piRNA from 1 species